rnacentral:lncRNA from 1 species
UAAAACUUAGCAAUUUAAAUAGAAAUCCAUAGACUUACUCUUCAGAAUUAAAGUGCAAACUACUUAGAGAUCAUAAAUACUUUUAAUAUCAGAUAAAUCAUUAAGAAAUUGCAUUCUGUACUUGAUGACCACACGGGAACCUUGCUAGAGUCAAGAGAACUUGUCACUAGUAAUUAUGAAGACACCUUUACGGUGAGCGUUAUUAAAACCCUACUAGAGGUUUUGGGUGGGACUCAAGAGCAAGGGGUGGCCACCUGUGGACGAGGGUUCCCUGUUGUUAACAGAACACGUUGCCCACCUCGCAAGUAUGCAGCCCAAUCAGUCCCCAGGGUCUCGGUUCCCGUUGCGCCCUUCCCCAUGGCCACUGCGCUCAUUCAUGAGCCUAGGGUGAUCAGGCCUCCGGCCUAUAAAGAACUGCAGGAUCAGUGCGGCUCUUUUCUCGAGAUAGUAGGUGGCUCUGAAAAGAGCCUUUGGG